AGCGCGCGUAGGUUGGUUUAGUUAAGUUGGAUGUAGAAUCCCCGGGCUCAACCUGGGAACUGCAUCCAAAACUGGCAAGCUAGAGUAUGGUAGAGGGUGGUGGAAUUUCCUGUGUAGCGGUGAAAUGCGUAGAUAUAGGAAGGAACACCAGUGGCGAAGGCGACCACCUGGACUGAUACUGACACUGAGGUGCGAAAGCGUGGGGAGCAAACAGGAUUAGAUACCCCUGU
rnacentral:rRNA from 1 species